AUUGAACGCUGGCGGCAUGCCUUACACAUGCAAGUCGAACGGCAGCGGACCUUCGGGUGCCGGCGAGUGGCGAACGGGUGAGUAAUGCAUCGGAACGUGCCAUUGAGUGGGGGAUAACGUAGCGAAAGUUACGCUAAUACCGCAUAUUCUGUGAGCAGGAAAGCAGGGGAUCGCAAGACCUUGCGCUGAUUGAGCGGCCGAUAUCAGAUUAGCUAGUUGGUGAGGUAAAGGCUCACCAAGGCGACGAUCUGUAGCGGGUCUGAGAGGAUGAUCCGCCACACUGGAACUGAGACACGGUCCAGACUCCUACGGGAGGCAGCAGUGGGGAAUUUUGGACAAUGGGCGCAAGCCUGAUCCAGCCAUGCCGCGUGAGUGAAGAAGGCCUCGG
rnacentral:rRNA from 1 species